rnacentral:rRNA from 1 species
GAUCCUGACUCAGGAUGAACGCUAGCUACAGGCUUAACACAUGCAAGUCGAGGGGCAGCAUGAACUUAGCUUGCUAAGUUUGAUGGCGACCGGCGCACGGGUGAGUAACACGUAUCCAACCUGCUGAUGACUCGGGGAUAGCCUUUCGAAAGAAAGAUUAAUACCCGAUGGCAUAGUUCUUUCGCAUGGUAGAACUAUUAAAGAAUUUCGGUCAUCGAUGGGGAUGCGUUCCA